rnacentral:rRNA from 1 species
UAAUGUAUGGGGAUCUGCCCGAUAGAGGGGGAUAACUACUGGAAACGGUGGCUAAUACCACAUAAUGUCUACGGACCAAAGCAGGGGCUCUUCGGACCUUGCACUAUCGGAUGAACCCAUAUGGGAUUAGCUAGUAGGUGGGGUAAAGGCUCACCUAGGCGACGAUCUCUAGCUGGUCUGAGAGGAUGAUCAGCCACACUGGGACUGAGACACGGCCCAG